rnacentral:rRNA from 1 species
UCAAAAACAUGUCCUUUUGUUUAUUUAAUAUAAGGUCUAACCUGCCCAAUGAUUAUAUUGAAUGGCCGCGGUAUUUUAACUGUGCUAAGGUAGCAUAAUCACUUGUCUUUUAAUUGAAGGCUAGAAUGAAUGGUUGGACGAAACAUUGACUUUCUUUGAAUUAAUUAUUGAAUUUAACUUCUCAGUCAAAAGGCUGAGAUAUAAUUGAGGGACGAGAAGACCCUAUAGAUCUUUAUAUGUAAAUAUAUUGGGUAUUAUAGCUAAAUAAAUUAUAUUGAUAUGAUGUCAUAUUUGAUUGGGGUGAUUGUAGAAUUUACAAAACUUCUAUUUUAUAAAUUUCAUGAAUGAGUGUAUGAUUGAUCCAUUAUUAUUGAUUAUAAGAUUAAGUUACCUUAGGGAUAACAGCGUAAUUUCUUUGGAGAGUUCUUAUCGAUAAAGGAGUUUGCGACCUCGAUGUUGGAUUAAAAUAAGUGUAGGGUGCAGAAGUUCUAUGACUAGGUCUGUUCGACCUUUAAUUUUUUACAUGAUCUGAG